rnacentral:rRNA from 1 species
CAAGUCGAACGAAGUAGCAAUACUUAGUGGCAGACGGGUGAGUAACAUGUAGGUAUCUUCCCUUUGGUGAGGAAUAACACGAGGAAACUUGUGCUAAUACCUCAUAAGUCUUCACGGAGAAAGCUUUAUGCGCCGAAGGAUGAGCCUGCACUUGAUUAGUUUGUUGGUGGGGUAAUGGCCUACCAAGACUUUGAUCUAUAGCUGAUCUGAGAGGAUGAUCAGCCACAUUGGGACUGAGACACGGCCCAAACUCCUACGGGAGGCAGCAGUAGGGAAUAUUGCACAAUGGAGGAAACUCUGAUGCAGCGAUGCCGCGUGAGUGAAGAAGGCCUUUGGGUUGUAAAGCUCUUUCGUCGGGGAAGAAAAUGACUGUACCCGAAUAAGAAGGUCCGGCUAACUUCGUGCCAGCAGCCGCGGUAAUACGAAGGGACCUAGCGUAGUUCGGAAUUACUGGGCUUAAAGAGUUCGUAGGUGGUUAAAAAAGUUGGUGGUGAAAUCCCAGAGCUUAACUCUGGAACUGCCAUCAAAACUUUUUAGCUAGAGUAUGAUAGAGGAAAGCAGAAUUUCUAGUGUAGAGGUGAAAUUCGUAGAUAUUAGAAAGAAUACCAAUUGCGAAGGCAGCUUUCUGGAUCAUUACUGACGCUGAGGAACGAAAGCAUGGGUAGCGAAGAGGAUUAGAUACCCUCGUAGUCCAUGCCGUAAACGAUGUGUGUUAGACGUUGGAAAUUUAUUUUCAGCGUCGCAGCGAAAGCAUUAAACACACCGCCUGGGGAGUA